rnacentral:lncRNA from 1 species
CCAUCUUCUCUCUGCCGUUUCAGACCCCUCUCACUCCGAUGACGACGGAACGAAGAGGUCUUUCGGCAACACUCACAAUGGUAAGUCCUUCUCUAUCUUUUCCUUUCCGUUUUGUACACAAAAUAAUAAAUCAAAGGGAAAAAAAUGAAAAAACGAACCAAAUAGAAAAUCACCUUCUAAAAAACUUUUUCUUUCUCUUCGAUUUCUCUCUGUUUUCGUUUUUUAAUAAUUUUGAUACAAUCUUUGUUCCCCCUUUCAAUACAAAAGAUCGGCUGUUUUAUAGCCCAAAAAAUAACCUAUUUCCUUGUUUUUUGUUGUUUUACAUUGUUUGGACUCUUUAAAAUCCGUCUUGCAGGUGAUCGUGAGAGCACUCGCGGGGAAGGCACGCAAGGGGCGGCGACGAACGUGGCUGCUGUUGAAGGCGGCGGCUAGUGGUUUUCUUCUGCUUAGGGUGUCUGUUAUUUUUUUUUGAUUUUUGGGCUAGGUUUAGUUUGGGCUUAGGUUUAGUUUAUUGGGUUUAUUUAUUUGCUUGGGCCCGGGCAUUAUUGGGCUUGUACAUCCAUCGCACAACAAACGCUCUGGUAGACAUAAUAGCCACUGAGAGUUUGAAGAAAAUGAAAGGGUUUUACCUGGAAUGUGCAGUACCAAGUCAUGCAGUUAAAGCUCUGGAAGACGAUUGGAUCAGAGAACCAGACUGAAGCUUUGCAAGGAAGAUAGUGUUUGCUCCCGGGGAAUCAAAACGUCGGAGAAGAAAUGUUGUGUGAAGGAAAUGACUAAUUGGAAAUCAGGGGAGCGUUUUUUUGGAUGGAAAAGGAAGUUUUGGGAAAGAGAGAUCGUCAGGCACUUAUGCUGGACAGUUGAUGGGACGGAUAAUGACUUUUCCGAGGAAGUGGGCUUUAAAUUAGUUGUUUUCUCCUUUAUAAAUGUUUGCUGUUAUUGUAAAGUUUGUUAGGUUUGGGAAGUGGGCCGUGUAGUGGCUCUUGGACACAAAACAUAGUUUUCUGUUCACAUUGAUUUUAUUUUAUAAAGCCCAGUUUAAUUUUGCUCAA